AAGUCGUAACAAGGUUUCCGUAGGUGAACCUGCGGAAGGAUCAUUAGAAUGAGAGCCGGACCAUGUCGUGGGCGAAAGCUCGCACGGUAGCCAGGUUGAACGACGGUCCCAGGGUCCCGAAAAUAACCCCUUCCCCAACCCCCCUUUUGGUUGGUUAUUAUUCUUCUGUUGCUUUGGCAGGCCGCGACCCUCUGGGGGAGCGCUGGCUUCGGCUGGAGAGUGCCUGCCAGAGGACCAAACUCUGUAAUUUAAUGCCGUCUGGGUACUACGAAAAUAGUUAAAA
rnacentral:misc_RNA from 1 species